rnacentral:rRNA from 1 species
AACGAACGCUGGCGGCAGGCCUAACACAUGCAAGUCGAGCGAGGACUUCGGUCCUAGCGGCGGACGGGGGAGUAACGCGGGGGAACGUGCCCUUUGCUUCGGCAUAUCCCUGGGAAACAGGGAGUAAUACCGGAUGAGCCCUUUGGGGGAAAGAUUUAUCGGCGAAGGAUCGGCCCGCGUCGGAUUAGGUAGUGGGUGGGGUAAUGGCCUACCAAGCCGACGAUCGAUAGCGGGUUUGAGAGGAUGCUCCGCCACACUGGGACUGAGCAACGGCCCAGACUCCUACGGGAGGCAGCAGUGGGGAAUCUUGGCCAGUGGGGGGAGCCCUGAUCGAGCCCUGCCGCGUGAGCGAUGAAGGCCUUAGGGUUGUAAAGCUCUUUAAGCUGGGAAGAUAAUGACGGUACCAGCAGAAGAAGCCCCGGCUAACUCCGUG